rnacentral:lncRNA from 10 species
AUCAGCGUUCAUCCUCUAGACAGCCUGACUUCUUAAGUGAACGUCCACGUUUACACUAGAGCAGCAGGCACUUCCUGCUGGCUCCUUCCAGACAAGGAGCCUCUGUUCGCCUUGGGACUGGGGAGCAAACAGCCUCUGACUGUCCCAGCUGGGUAGGCUGGAACUUGGAUGUGCAUUGGCAGGUCUGCAUUGGCAGACCAGAUGUCACCAUACAGACAACAAUAUCCUACAGGACAGAAAAGCUUGAAAGUAAAAGAAACUUUGGUGUUUGAAUAAACCACACAUUUGUCCUGGACAACCUGCCUAUCGUUGAACUGUUACAUGAGAGAAAAAGAGAUUUCUCUCUUAUUUGAACAAUUGCAUUUUCAAGUCUUUUUGUUACAGCAGCAUAACUGAUACCCUAACCCUGACAAAUACAUUUUUAAACAAAAGGAGGAAUGCUACUAUCGUACUCUAUGCUGGUCCAGUCUUACUUGGGGUGCAGUAUUCUCAUCUGUGAAUCACAUUUCAAGGGGCCUAAAGACAAAGUAGAAGUGUUCAGAUAACAGCAACAUGAUUGGUGAGAAAUUCAAAGUUGAAGAAACUGGAAGAGCAGAUUUAGAGUAAGUAGGAGUGCCACUUUCAAAUGUCUGAGGAACUGGCCUGUGAAAGAAUGAUUCACUUUGUUCUGUGUAGUUUCAGUAGAUAGAAGUAUGGUUCAACGGGAAAACUGAUUUUGCUGAAGAGAAAGAUUUCUGGCUGUCAGGUCUGCAUAGACAUUGGAGGCACUGAGUUCCCUGCUCAUGGAGAUAUUUUUCACAGAGCCUGGAUAAUCAUUUGGCUGGAUUUGUAACAACUGUGUAUCAUACAGGGGAUGACUUUGAAAGCUGAGUAUUGAAGAUGGCAGAAGCUGUCUUUCAGCCUUGGUCCCUGAACAACAUGUUGAGCAGAUCCCGUGGUAAUCUGGAACUGCCCUGGACUGUAGGAAUCAACUUCUUUAUACAACAAUGGCAGAGAAGUUCUACAAUAUGGAGUCCUGUGAUAAAAGAUCAUUCUCCAUAAUGUGGGUGUCCUCAUCCAAUCAGUUGAAAGCCUGAAAAGAACAAAAAGCAGAUCUUUCUUGAGCAAGAAGGAUUCUCCAACAGACUGCCUUCAGACUUCAUCUGCAGCAUCGGCUCUUCCUGGUUCUGCAGUAAACUGUUCCUGGACUUGACUACAGCUCUUUCUCGAGUCUCCAGCCUGCUGGCUUCGUCUAUGAGAUUUUGUACUCACCAGGCAUCCACAAGCACAUGAGCCAAU